CGUUAUUCGCCCUUGACGUUUCCUCCUCACACGAUUAAACAAAGAAACUCCCGGUAUUCUGGUCGUUGUUUCUCGUUGGAGUCACAUAAUCUGAGAGUUAGUCGUCAACGUUAGAGAAAUUGACCAUUCAAAUCUUUUCUGCAAAAUGGCGAAUCUCCAGCCGCAGAAACGAAGCUUCAGUCCAAACAGACUUACAUCGUGACAAACCCGCAACUUAACCUGAAUCAACACUGGCUCUUCAAGGUCUGAUCCAGAGAUGCUUCCUUCAGCAUACAAUCCUGAAUCUGCUGCACACCAAUGGCAGUCAUCAUGGAAAUCUGAGGCUUUUGGUUUUGUAGGCAUCUGUAUAGUCAAUCAGGAGCCACCGAAAGUCACCCGGAGCCACCCAGGAGGACCUCCAGGAAGUCCUCUUCUGGGAUUGAGUUGAAGGAUGAGACGUCUUGGCAAAAUAUAAUCUGUGAAGAGAUAAAUGAUCAAUCAUCGAUCUACCAAACAGGGAUUCGCUGGUGUUGACUGAGGGUCUUCGUCACCUCUGGGGAAGCUGAAACAGUAAUGCCUACUGACGGAAAACGGGACCCCCGUCAGACACAAAUACUGUACUCUGGUUUAUUUAGAAAUAGCUUUACUUGUUUAUUUUAUUGGUUAUUUUUAGGAUAAAAGUGGCACAUGCACUCUAAGAAAGGCUGGGA
rnacentral:lncRNA from 1 species